rnacentral:rRNA from 1 species
AGUGAACGCUGGCGGUAGGCCUAACACAUGCAAGUCGAACGGCAGCACAGUAAGAGCUUGCUCUUACGGGUGGCGAGUGGCGGACGGGUAAGGAAUACAUCGGAAUCUACUUUUUCGUGGGGGAUAACGUAGGGAAACUUACGCUAAUACCGCAUACGACCUACGGGUGAAAGCAGGGGAUCUUCGGACCUUGCGCGAUUGAAUGAGCCGAUGUCGGAUUAGCUAGUUGGCGGGGUAAAGGCCCACCAAGGCGACGAUCCGUAGCUGGUCUGAGAGGAUGAUCAGCCACACUGGAACUGAGACACGGUCCAGACUCCUACGGGAGGCAGCAGUGGGAAUAUUGGACAAUGGGCGCAAGCCUGAUCCAGCCAUACCGCGUGGGUGAAGAAGGCCUUCGGGUUGUAAAGCCCUUUUGUUGGGAAAGAAAAGCAGCAGGUUAAUACCCCGCUGUUCUGACGGUACCCAAAGAAUAAGCACCGGCUAACUUCGUG